rnacentral:rRNA from 1 species
GACGAACGCUGGCGGCGUGCUUAACACAUGCAAGUCGAACGGAAAGGCCCCUUUGGGGGUACUCGAGUGGCGAACGGGUGAGUAACACGUGAGUAACCUGCCCUUGACUUCGGGAUAACUUCAGGAAGCUGGGGCUAAUACCGGAUAGGAAUCCUUGCUGCAUGGUGGGGGUUGGAAAGCUUCGGCGGUUUUGGAUGGACUCGCGGCUUAUCAGCUUGUUGGUGGGGUAGUGGCUUACCAAGGCUUUGACGGGUAGCCGGCCUGAUAGGGCGACCGGCCACAUUGGGACUGAGAUACGGCCCAGACUCCUACGGGAGGCAGCAGUGGGGAAUAUUGCACAAUGGGCGGAAGCCUGAUGCAGCAACGCCGCGUGCGGGAUGACGGCCUUCGGGUUGUAAACCGCUUUCAGCAGGGGCGAAGCUUGUGGUGACGGUACCUGCAGAAGAAGCACCGGCUAACUACGUG